AUGUUCAUCAUGACAUCAUCGGCGGCGCUUCCGUGGCUCCUGCCUCGUUCUUCCGACGAGGGCGGUGGUGUCCAUCGUACCGCCGUCUACCUGAGGCUCUACCUUGUCGCCCUUUGCACUGGCGGAAUCAAGCCCUGCGCCACGGCCCUUGGCGCCGAUCAGUUCGACGGCGCGGACCCGGCGGAGCGCGUGGGCAAGGGCUCCUUCUUCAACUGGUACUACUUCUCGAUCAACAUUGGCUCGCUGCUGUCGGCGACGUUGCUCGUCUGGGUGCAGGACAACAUCGGGUGGACCGUCGGGUACGCAAUCCCGACGGUGCUCAUAGGAUUCGGCCUCGCCGUGUUCGUCUCCGGUGGGAAGAUUUACAGGUACAGGCCACUGGGAGUGGGAGGGAGCCCACUGACAAGGGUCUCCCAGGUGGUCGUCGUAGCAGCAAGGAAUUGCCGUCUCGAGCUGCCCGAUGACACCUCGGCCCUGCACGAAAAUGGCAAUGCUCAGCACACCGGGCAGUUCAGGUUCUUUGACAAGGCUGCGAUCGUGCUGGCGUCGUCAGAGAAGAAGGGCCCGUGGCGGCUCUGCACGGUGUCGCAGGUGGAGGAGCUGAAGAUGCUGCUGCGGAUGUCACCCGUUUGGGCGUCGAUGCUCGUCUUCUUCGCGGUCACCUCUCAGAUGUCAACCACGCUGAUCGAGCAGGGUAUGGCCAUGGACAAUCGUGUUGGCGCUUUUGUCGUGCCGCCGGCGUCGCUCUCCACCUUUGACAUUAUCAGCGUUCUCAUCUGGGUUCCCCUCUACGACGCCGUGCUGGUGCCGCUCGCACGGCGCGUCACCGGCGAGCACAGGGGAUUCACGCAGCUGCAGCGUUUAUUUCUCGGUAUU
rnacentral:rRNA from 1 species